UUAUAUAUAUAUCAGAUUGGAACUUCAUUCGGAGAGCGGAAAUAACAAACCAGAACUAAUAUUUAUGGACCAAGUAGAGGACAUUUCAUCUGAGUUUAUUUUGCACAAAAACGAAAAUUGCAUUCAAAUACGCAUAAAUGAUGGUAGUCGAGAUGGUAGGAUUGUUUUAACGAACUCUGAUGAAAUCGGAUUAAAGGAAUGGGCGUCAUCUUUGAGAUCCGCACACAAAAUGUCGCAAGAUCUCUUAGGAUCAAUGGCUAAACAAGCAGGAAAAAUUUAUGGUAGUGAACGAGAUGCCAACAAAUCUAUAUAUAUUCUAGGGGGUAAUUGUUCAACGAAAUCGUCUAAUGGGUCUAAUUAAUUCUCUAAUAACUUAUGUACAACCAAAUUACUGCUAUGUAAAACGAUGUAGAGGUAUACACAAUGGAAAUACAUUUGAAAAGAUUCCUAAUAAAUCCACCUCAUCUUUAAA